rnacentral:rRNA from 1 species
UCCUACGGGAGGCAGCAGUAGGGAAUCUUCCGCAAUAGACGAAAGUCUGACGGAGCAACGCCGCGUGAGUGAUGAAGGCUUUCGGGUCGUAAAACUCUGUUGUUAGGGAAGAACAAGUGCUAGUUGAAUAAGCUGGCACCUUGACGGUACCUAACCGGAAAGCCACGGCUAACUACGUGCCAGCAGCCGUGGUAAUACGUAGGUGGCAAGCGUUAUCCGGAAUUAUUGGGCGUAAAGCGCGCGCAGGUGGUUUCUUAAGUCUGAUGUGAAAGCCCACGGCUCAACCGUGGAGGGUCAUUGGAAACUGGGAGACUUGAGUGCAGAAGAGGAAAGUGGAAUUCCAUGUGUAGCGGUGAAAUGCGUAGAGAUAUGGAGGAACACCAGUGGCGAAGGCGACUUUCUGGUCUGUAACUGACACUGAGGCGCGAAAGCGUGGGGAACAAACAGGAUUAGAUACCCUGGUAGUCCACGCCGUAAACGAUGAGUGCUAAGUGUUAGAGGGUUUCCGCCCUUUAGUGCUGAAGUUAACGCAUUAAGCACUCCGCCUGGGGAGUACGGCCGCAAGGCUGAAACUCAAAUGAAUUGACGG